rnacentral:rRNA from 1 species
AUUGAACGCUGGCGGCAUGCCUUACACAUGCAAGUCGAACGGUAACAGGUCUUCGGAUGCUGACGAGUGGCGAACGGGUGAGUAAUACAUCGGAACGUGCCUAGUAGUGGGGGAUAACUACUCGAAAGAGUGGCUAAUACCGCAUGAGAUCUACGGAUGAAAGCAGGGGAUCGCAAGACCUUGUGCUACUAGAGCGGCCGAUGGCAGAUUAGGUAGUUGGUGGCAUAAAAGCUUACCAAGCCGACGAUCUGUAGCUGGUCUGAGAGGACGAUCAGCCACACUGGGACUGAGACACGGCCCAGACUCCUACGGGAGGCAGCAGUGGGGAAUUUUGGACAAUGGGCGCAAGCCUGAUCCAGCAAUGCCGCGUGCAGGAUGAAGGCCUUCGGGUUGUAAACUGCUUUUGUACGGAACGAAAAGCCCUGGGUUAAUACCCUGGGGUCAUGACGGUGCCGUAAGAAUAAGCACCGGCUAACUACGUGCCAGCCGCCGCGGUAACAC